rnacentral:tRNA from 4 species
GCCUGCGUGGUGAAAUGGUAGACACGGCGGAUUCAAAAUCCGCUAACGCGAGUUGUGGCGGUUCGAGUCCGCCCGCAGGUACCA